rnacentral:rRNA from 1 species
CCUACGGGAGGCAGCAGUAAGGAAUAUUGGUCAAUGGACGCAAGUCUGAACCAGCCAUGCCGCGUGAAGGAUGAAGGCCCUCUGGGUUGUAAACUUCUUUUAUCUGGGACGAAAAAAGGGCUUUCUAGCUCGACUGACGGUACCAGAGGAAUAAGCACCGG